rnacentral:sRNA from 1 species
AACAAAAAGCACAAAUAAAAAAUGGUUACAAAAACAAAAUAAUUUAAAAAAAUUUCAAAGCAAAAUUUAAAGACAUUAAUAUCAUUUAACUAUCAGAAAAAUUGAAUAAGCCGUUUUUUAAAUGUAAUAGUGUUGCUGAUGCAUUGAAUAUCGUGUGAUAGAUUAUUCUAAAGUCGUAUGUUGCUAAUAUAAAAUUGUCGUUUAAACAUAAGACUCCGUCUUCUAAAAGGUAUUAACUUUCUUCGUUUUAGAAGACGGAAGAAAGUUAACAAAUAUCUGGGUUUCUUUUCCACAAUAAUCUUAUGUAAAAAUAUUAAUGAUCUGGUAUUUAGAAGAUUGUUGAAACUAAGUCCAAAUAGAGAAUCUACAUAUUGUGAAACAUGCUGAUUCUUUUUUAAACCAUACACAUAACGGACUAUGCUGUUAAAAGCUACAUUAAAUUUUCGGAGGCUCGAAGAAUCACAAUUCGAAAAAAGUUCAAAACCAUAUAUCAAACCUGGAACUAGGAAUGUUUUCGCCAGAAGAAUUCUGAUUUUUAUGGGUGUAAAAGAUUAUGUGAUCCAUAAAGCACGAAGCUUUGCAUAAGUCUGCCCGGCUGCAAUGUUAGCAUAAUCGGACCAGCUCAAAGAACUGUUAAAAACCACGCCUAAAUUCUUCGCACUAGAUACAAUAUCAAUCCUCUGGCCAUUAACGUAAAUAUCCGGUUGUCGCAUGUUGAAAUUCUUGUUUUUGUGAACAACCAAACAUUUACACUUACUUGGAUUUAACAACAAACCAUUUGCAGUCGCCCAGUCAUAAACGCAAUGUAGGUCCGCGUUAAAUUUAGGUGGACCUAUAAUCGAGCCUUGAGGACCCCCCCUUACGUACGAACAAGGGGUUAGAUAAUGCGCCUACAGACUGCCAUCUAACGCUCAGAUACGACAUAAUCAGACUCGUUGCCGUUGAUGUGAAGUUAAAAAAUUCCGUAGUUUCAUGCACAACUUCAGGUGAUCAAUUGUAUCGAAACUUUGGAGUGACCCAAAAGUACCAGAAAGCCAAUUUUGUUCUCAUCAAUGUCAUUUCUGAUCGAUUCAGCCACUUCAACCAAUGCCGUAAUGCAAUUAUGAUCAGAAUGGAAGCCGGACUGUCUUUCUGACAACAGGGACUCUUGGUGAAGAUAUACCGACAUCUGUCCAUGAAAAAUUUUCUCGAAAACCUUGGAGAGAUAGUAUAUGAUUGAUAUCGGCCGAUAAUCAACGUUCGGAUUUGGGAAUGUGGAUAAUCUUUACAUGCUUCCCCGUAAUAGGAUACACACUGGAGCUCAAAAUUGAAUUAAACAGGUACGUAAAGUACGGUAGGAGAUAUGGAAGUAACAUUCGUACAAAUCUCGGAUCAACUCCGUCCAAGCCAAUUGCAUUUGACUUAACACGGAUAAAACUCUCAAAAAUUUCCUCAUGGCUAACACAUUUAAACUCAAAAGGACUACGGGCAUUAAAAACGAAAGCCGACCCAUCAUCAUCACUGUAAAAUUGUGUGUCCGUUUGUAUAUCGGGUAUGCUUACGAAGGUCCUGUUGUGUUCAUCUAGAUCCCCAUGGUAUCGAGUGAUUGACUUGGGUUUACCCACUCCGAUGUCAUGUAUCACCUUCCACUUACUCUUCGAGCCCACUGCGCAAUCAUAUUUUGAAGAAUAAUACUCCAUUUUAGCCGCAUUAAUAAAACUGUUAACUUUCCUCCUGGCUUCACGGAAUUCUUCUUUCAGCUCUGAAGACUUGAAACGCUUCCAUCUACUGUAAGCCAAGUCCCUAUCCCCGUUAAGCGCCUUGAUUCUUGAGUUGAACCAUGGCUUUGUUUUGGCUGAAGCCCUUUAAAUCCGUAUUGGAACUGUUGCAUCAUAGGGACGUAAAAUGUUAUCCGUCAUGAAAGCCGUCUGCUGAUCGACAGUUAAAAGGGUAAAAAUGUCAUCCCAGUUCACCUGGUAGAUCAUACCAACUAAAUGUUCAUAAUUCAAAUUACCGUAGUCACGAUAAGAUAUGUCCUCCUCUUCCUCCCGCAAAGCAAAAUCGUAGGCGAGAUAAAUCAGAUCAUGCUUAGAGAAACAUGGAACAGAAAUCUGAUCAUAUAAUGAUAUCUUCAAAGAAUUAUUGACAAAGAACAAAUCUAAGAGUGUAUUGAUGGUUGACGUGAAAUGUGUUGGGUUUGUAUUAUUGGUGACGAAUAGGCUAAGUGUCAACAUAGCAUCAGUCAGAGUUGAAUCUAUAAGUAUGUUUGAGGUAAAGUCCCCAGUGAUUAUAACAUCAGUAUAACUCAGUGUUACGGACUCCAGUACAACCUGAAGCCCAUGUAUGUCAAUCGUAUUAUUCGGACGAUUCAGAUAACCGCGGUGUCUUCGCUGAAUUUUCCAAAAGAUCGACGGAUAAGGCUCUGUCGGUCGUGUUUGGGUGCUCUUGAAUCUCUUACCACAACGUUCUUCUCUACUUGAAGGUUUACCUGUGUAACGUCACCUUCGUAUUGAUCAGUCAUGUUGAAAUUAACGGAUGGUUCGAAGAUGUGUGCAAAAAUAAACCCCACUUUAUGGUGCGUGUCUAUAAUAUAAAAAAGUUGAAAAACUCACAGCGCGACUCAUUUAAAAUCUUUAUUAUUUUUCUUAAAAAUUUAAAGUCAACUUUUAGGCGCAAGUCUUUAUAGCUAUUUUUAAUCUGCUUCUGUUGUUGAAAGCUUAAGAGUUUAACUUUAACUUUAAUUUAACUUUGUUUGGAGCAGCUUCGCAAUUUAUACUUUUACGUUUCGCUUGACACUUCUCUGUUACUCUCACCAUCAGUUCUCUUUCUCACUCGUUUUUCUUGUAAUGCUGUUUGUUUGUAAAUUUGGCUUUUGCUUUUUUUUACACAAAAAUAAAUUGCAAAUGUUUGUAACACAUAACACUUUCUGUUACUCGAAUAUGAUUAUUAUUGAACACAGGGUGUACCACUUGUUGAAUUGUAACUUUUUGUGGUUUAUAAACAGAGUACGGAGUGUUUUAUCAGGAGCUCAUAUAAACACGCUACAAGUGAUUUCAGUUUAACUCUAUGGAGUGGGAGCGGUAUUGGCUCAGUUAGACGAGGAGGAUUGUGAGAGACCAAUUGCAUAUAUGUCCCACAAGUUGAACUCAGCGUAAUUACACUAUUGCCGAGCUUGAAUGAUUAGUUGUCGUAAUGGCAAUAAAGAAGUUAAGGGCAUAUAUUGAGCGUCAGGAGAUUAAAAUACUUACAGAUCAUUCAAGUUUGAAGUGGUUAAUGAAUCAGAGAGAUUUGUCAGGAAGGCUAGCAAGAUGGGCUUCAAGGCUUCAAUUUUUCGAUUGAGCAUCGUAGUGGCAGGGAUAUUGUGGUCCCGGAUACGUUAUCGAGAGUGCAUAAAGGUGAGGAAGCUGUGAAUGCUAUUGAAUUGGAAACUUUUGCAUCCAUAGAUCUCGAUUCUGAAGCUUUUGACUCCGACGAAUACAAAUCCUUGAGAGAUGAGGUUGAGAAGUCAGGUUUACCCGAUUUUAGAAUCAUUGACUGAUUUGUGUAUAAGCGUACUGAUUUUUCUUUAGGAUUUGAAGGCGAGUCUGAUAUAUGGAAAUUGUAUGUUCCUUCUUCUCUACGAAUGAAUGUGGUAUAUGCGGCUCAUGACAUUCCUAAUUCAGCCCAUGGGACAUUAAUAAUACUUUGGAGAGAAUAAGGCGUUACUUUUAUUGGCCAGGACUUGUAAGAGAUGUAAAGGUGUACAUAAUGAAAUGCGAGUUAUGCAAGACAUCGAAAACUCCGACAAUGGCUCUGAGACCAGCGUUGGGUCAAAUGGUAGUGACUGAGAGGCCAUUUCAACGACGUUACAUAUGUAGAUCUUAUUGGACCUUUGCCGAGGAUGAGGUCUGGCAAUAUCGGAAUACUUAUUGUUCUAGAUCAUUUCUCGAAUUUACUUUCUUGAGGCCAAUGAAAAAAUUUGUUUCAAAGGACAUUAUAAAAUAUUUAAGAAACGAUAUUUUUGACUGCUUUGGCGUUCCGGAAAUUAUAGUUUCCGAUAAUGGAUCCCAAUUUCGGAGUAAUGAUUUCAAGCAAUUUCUAGACCAAUAUGGGGUGAAACAAAUGCUUACUGCGGCUUAUAGCGCUCAGUGAACGGAUGAAUCGGUGUGUAAAUGAGGCACUACGUUCGUAUGUGCGGGAAGAUCAACGAUGUUGGGACGGAUACCUUAGCGCACUUAGAAAUAGUAUACAUCAAUCAUUAGGAAGAACACUAUAUCAAAUUGUUUUCGGGCAGUCUAUAGUAACACAUGGGGAUGACUACAAAUUGUUAGCCAAUUUGAAUCUAUUAGCUGACUCGGAUACAAUGCUUGAACGCCAUGAUAAUUUUUCGCUUAUAAGAGAUAAUGUAAAAGGUUGUCUUAAAAGGGCAUAUUGCAAGAACGUUCGUAGUUACAAUUUGCGAUCAAGGUAUAAGAAACUUUCUAUAGAACAGUUGGUGAUUCGUAGAAACUUUAGCCAGAGCUCACGUAUUGGAUAUUUUAAUUCGAAAUUGGCUCCGGUUGGAAUACAGGCAAAGGUUUUACGGAAAAUUGGUUAAGUGAAUUACGAGUUGCAAGAAAUUGAAAGUGGAGAUAUUGGUGUGUAUCACGCAAAGGAUAUUUGGACAUGAUAUUACUAAUAGAUUCAAGCUAGAGGAUCCACCUUUUACUGAUCCAGUUCCUGGGUUUAUAAACCGGAAGCUGUAUCUGUUUUGUGAGGCCAUGCCGGUACUUGUUAAAUUGAAAUAUUUUAUUUUAAAUUAAGUAUUUAUAUUUUUUGUUGCUAUGGGUUUUGUUAUUUCGUUGCCGGGGGAAAAAAUGUAUUAGGGGAUUGUUAGAAAAAUUUGGAAAGGAGAACGUUGGAUAAAACUGAGAUACGAAAAUUUUCGGAUAAUUCAUUGAACAAAAGAAAGAGCUUCCGGUCAUUGGAUUGGUUUCCGACAAUAUAUUUUCGAAGAUUAACGCAAAGGAAGGCAAAAUUUACAAUAUUCCCUAAAAUAUUUCCUGUUUUACAAAAUCCUUAUGGCGUUAAUUGAUGGCGAAUAAUUGUUUAAUUUUGGCAAAAUUGGCUGAUUACCUAAAUGAAUGUUAGCUGCAGAAAUUUGAGAUUUAUUUUAAUGUAGACUUGGAAAAAAAAAAAAAACAAUUCUGGAGGAUGCAAAUUUGUAUAUAAGAAAUUCAGAUAAGGAAUAAUAUAAUUUUAAAUAGAAUAUUUUGAACAUUUACCACUAUUUUUGUACACAGAAGAAGACUUUUGUGAUCUUUGAAUUGGUAAAUUUUUAUUUAACUACGUUUUUUU